GCAGCAGGGAGGGCGGAGGGCUGAGCCGGGGGCCAGGCAGACCCGGGGCCUCAGGCCACCUGGUCCGUAGUCCCCCUCCCAUCUCAGGGAUCAGCCGUGCGGUGCCCAGUCCCGUCCUUGGGCUCCGUGACUGCCCUGGCUGGGGGUUGUGGAUUUGGGGCUGGGGUUGGGACAGCCCUGCUGUGAGCUCAGCCCCUCAGACAGGACAGCCCACAGGGGGCUGAGUGCCUCCAGCUCUGUCCCUCCAGGAGAGUACCCCCAGCCUGUCUGAGUGCCCCCUGUCCUGCCAGUGGCGGCACUGCGGCACUCUCUGACUCGGGGUCGCCCUCACCAUGCUUGGUCUGCAGAGGCUGGGAGCGUGGGGUGCGGAGCAGACACCUCGGUUGCAGCCAUCUUGUCAGCUUGGGACAUCAGCAGCUGUUUGAUGCUAAGGAGGGAAGGGCCGGGAGGCUGCUGAAUGCCCACCCUGGCUCCCCUGUGGGUCUGCAUCCCACCUCCACCGCAGUCCCGGACGCCCAGUGCUCACCAGAGCCCAUUGACACUGAGUGUCGACACUCCUAAGGCCUAGCCUCGGGAGCAGCUGACGGGGUCAGAGGCUGCUGGAAUAUUCUAUCCCUGCACCUGGUCCCAGGGGAGGCACCCCACAAACCACACCAUGAUCCCAGGUCCCUGAGAGAGCGUGGCUGGCCUCCCACUUGGUUACCCAAGGACUGGGCUGUGAGGGUCUCUGAAUGGCCCCUGAAGACUGAGAGGUGGGCUGGCCCUGGCCCUGUCUGGGCUGCAUGCUCCACACAUGCUGGGGCGGGGCCCACGAGGAAGCCAACACUCACUACUCCUUGUGGAAGCUUCCUUUGCUGUCCGGGUCCGGCAACUUGGAGGCCUCUAGGGUGGUCUCCGAGCCUCUGCCUCUGCCUGCUGCACAGAGGCCUCAGGGUGCCCCCCACUGCCAGAGGCCUCCCUGUCCUUACCAGGUGUGGCCCCCAAGUCAGCCAGGGCCUGCAGCCGGGGGCCAGAGGUCUGAGAGUGUGGGACAGAGGCCACCGGCUGGGAGGUGAGUUUGGAGCUCAGGACUUGUCGGGAUUGCCCCCAGGCUCUUUUGGUGAAAUGUCUUGAUUUCUAGGUGUUAGGUGCUAACCCAACAAACAGGGGUCUCGCUGGUCAGCUUCUCCCCAAGCAGGUUCGGGAACACGGUGGAGUUACAGGCCCUGAGGCCUCCUUGAGCAUGGUGUCCAGCUUGUCAUCCUUCAUGUUGGUCUUGCCUGUUGCAGAGGGGUGGGGAGUGGUGUCAGGCGGGGCCUACUGGAGAGGCAGGAGGGACUGCUGGGCUCGGCAGGACUCAGGCCCCUGCCCUCCCGGCUCCAUAGCCUGUCCCAGGCUACAUGCUUGGGCUGGUCCGCUGGCCCUGCCCACCUGGAUGCCCCACCAGCUCUAGGCAGCCUGGGGCAGGUCUCCCUCCUGGAGGGGGGCGAAACACUGCUCAGGGCUUUGGAGUGGGGAAGGUCAGCCAUUCGGGCCAGUGCCCUUGCCCUGUGGGACAUUGGUGUGGACGUUCACUUUGCCUUGUGCUCACACCCACCAAGGGAGGUGUACGUGUCCUUCGGGUCCUCCUUGUCCAUGAAGCUGUCCUGGUUCCGAAGCAGGAGUGUGAAUGCCCAGAAACAGAGGCAGUCCGUAGCACUGUGGCCGGCUGCCUCUGCCUCCACCUCCCGGGCACAGGUGGCCACGGGUCCACGUUGGGUUGGGGCUCCUGGUGGGAAGGGGACUCGCCUUGAGUUCCUGGAUGUUGGGAUGUGCAAAGUUGGAGAAGAUGUUGGAGGAGGCCUGCUGGGCGUGCAGGGCAUCACCUUUCUUCCUGGUCUCCCUGCUGGCCUGAGGCAGGAGCACUGACGCUGAGGGUCCCAGACUGCUGGAGGACCCUUGAGGCACCCUGUGAUUUGAGAGCCUUAGCUCACAUGGUGAGGGGACUCCACCUAGUGCUGGACGGGCCCAGCAAGUGUGCUGCCACUAAGCUCAGGUGCAAGGGGGGAGGAGCUCGAUCCCCAAGGCCCUGGCAGAGCACAGGGCUUAGGACCAUUUCACUCUGUGGCCCUGAAGGGCUCCAGGGCACAGGGAUGCCAUGGUGGGCUUGUUCUGAGCAUCAGGGUUCUUGAAGGCCCAGACCUUCCCUCAUCUUGCCCCAGAAUGUCACCAGGGCAUGCCUGGGCCUGUACUGGCCUCACCCGUGCACUCGGGUGCACGUUCACACACACACAUGCAGGGACACACGCUCAUAUCCUGCCCUGCUGCCCACUGGGCCACUUGCUCACCAUGCCUGAGUCUUCCUUGGCUAGGUCCCGUCCUACCUGACUCAAGCUCCUGCCUGACCCCCCAGGACCGCUGAGGCUUCAGCUGCCACUCCCUACAAGGACAGGUUCAGGGCCACCCAGGGGGCUGGACAGCGGCAGAGUGUGCCUGGAAGGCCCAGCAGUGACUCAGACAGCCCCUUCUUAGGCCUGAAUGCUAUUCUCCAGGGCCCCUUGUCACGCCCUUGCCAGGGCCUGGGAUCUGAGAGUUGAUAGGGCACCCGGGACCCCCUAGACGGCAGAAACUGCAGGCCCCAGAGGAAGGUGCCUUCUCCAGAUGGCACAGAGGUAUAGAGUGACCCAAGUGUUUCUCCAGCGCUUGGUGUGUGCCAGGGGUCCCACACAGAUCCCUCAGCGGCGCUCCUGGCCCUGGGCCCACCCUUCUGACCCCGUGGCAGCAAUGGCUCCUCGGCUGAUCGAGGAGGAUGACAUUUCUGGGGUGGACCAGGCUUGGAGAUGGCCAGGCUACCCCGAGGGCUUGGGGUCAGGCACGCUUGGCCUGCCCCUCAGUCUUCCUCAUUCUCCCCGACCUGGCCGUGCUGUGGGUCAGGGGCCUUGGUCCAGGCGGUGGGAGGGAGGGUGGGCCACCUCAGCCCUGCAGCUCUAGGCCUGAAGAACAGCCCUUGGAGGCCUGGCCUGUGCUUGGCAGAGGCAGCAGGGCCCCAGCAGGUGGGCGUGGGUGCGGGUGCAUGUGGGUGCCUUGCUGGGUGCCCCCCCCCACUCUGAACUCCCAUGUAGCCCCGAGUGUUCACUGUAGCAGAGGUCCUGCCCCCCGCCCCCCCUGGGAAACAGCUGUCAUGGAAGCUGCUGCCCAAGAGCCCCUGAGCCAGCAGGGCCCGGGAACGUCAUGCACCUGAGAGACCUGGGGUUGCCUCUCCGACUAGGGAGCAUGUGGCCAGGUGUGGUGCCUGGGCUGGGAGGGAAGGAUCCCAGACAGGAUUGAGGUGUGGGGCUGCAGGGGUGGGGAGCCCCCAAAGUGAGAAGGCCAGAGAGCCCCAGAGAGGACCCUGACUCAGCACUGAAGAUAAUGGAGAGCUGGGCGUACUCAGAUUAUGCACACAGCUGAGCCUGACAGGUGCGAGGUCCCCAUGGGACCCUCCUCCGGGCCUGAGAGCUUGACUCGAGGCAGGUUUCUUCCCUGACAUCAGGGGUCUGCUCUGCCAGCCUCCACCCCCAGCCUGCUGUCAUAUCCCUGGGCACCUAGAGAUACUUAUUUUCAGUUCUGGAAGUUGAGUUGCUGAGGAGUAUGGUUUAUUUUAAAUCCAGUGAAGGGAAAACUCACGGUCACCUGAGGUCAUCUUAUAGGCAGCUAAGUUAGCUAGAAAUUAAUAUACAGUCAGAGAGGUUCUGGGCUCUCAAAGAAGUCAGCACAAAAAAUAAAGACAUCAAGCUGGGUGUGGUGGCACAUGCCUGUGAUCCCAGCACUUGGGAGGCUGAGGGAGGAGGAUCACUGUAAGUUUCAGGACAGCCUGGACUACAUAGCAAGACCCCAUUGCUGUUGUCAGGGUUUGCAAGGGAAUAGAUUUAAUACAGGACACCUAAUUUAUGGGAUUAUUUUAUAACAUUCACCUAAAAAGUCAAAUGCAGAGGAGUGCAAAGGUCUGCCCAUGCUCUAGAGACCCAAAGACUCCAGUUGACGGCCUGGAUUCUCUGGCAAUGUCCCACAGAAGUCCAGCUGAAGACCUACAGCCCAAGUCCAUGCCCUCCGUGAGUCCAGGCAGAGGCCUAGAGCCCACGGCAAUGUCUCACGCAAAUCUGUAUCAAAGAUCUGCACCGGGAAACCCUGAGGCCAGUGGUGGAGCUAGAAAGCCCGUGCUGGUGGGGUCAAGGGCCUGUGCCACCAGGCUGAGGAUCUGCACUGGAGCCAAGAACCUCAAGGCGAAGACCAGAGCCCCCCUGAGGGGAACAGCUGCCAUCCCCAGCGAUAGCGAGGACCUGACCUCCUCCCGUGAUGAGAAUAGCUGAGCUCCUGUCGGGAAAACAGCCAUGAUGAACUUCUCCAGGAAAAUCAACAGCGUAGUUUUCCCCUCUAGUUCUCCAUUUACGAAACAGUUUUCAGGUGGGUCUUCCAUGCCCCGAACCUCUCUGACUCAGUUCCGCUGGGCGUUCCAAAUUGACCUUUAGCUAAUCCACCACACCCGUUUAAAAAACCAAGCAAUCAAAUAAAUAAAAUAAAGAUCAGAAUUGUGGUUGGAAACACAGCUGAAGAAGGUUGGGCAUCAAGAUAAAGAUGCAAUGGGCAGGCACACACACCUCCUUGAGGGAUAAACAGUAACAUGAAAUUAUGCUGUGAUUAGUACCACCUGGCCCAGGAAGUCCAGCCAGGCAUCAGUUGCCCACGUGGGUGACCAGAGCAUCCAGACCCAUCUCUUCCCCAAAAUACCUUUAUUCUUUCCAUGUACCCUUGAUACAUGACUCAUUUCCCUACUGGAUCAGUAUUAGCUAAGCGGGUAUACUUGUAACCCUUUAGGUUGAUUGUAGUUUGACCUGUGUUGUAUCCAUGGUAUGUUUGGCUGUCACUUGGGAUCCCUCUUGGAAUAAAACUCUGUUUUUGUUUCUUUUCACUUAUAAGCAAAAAAUGUUUAUUUUGGCUCAAGUUUGCACAUCCCAACCCAAGAUGGAGUGGCCCCACUGCUCUGGACCCCUGAUGAGGUAGCACAUUAUGGUGGUAGCAUGUGGUGGGGUCUGGAUCUGCCUUGGGGCUGGAUCCUGGCCUGCCUCCCCAGGGUGGGCAUGAGCAGGGAGCCAGGGGUGAUGCCAGUAUUCUGGUCCCCAGUCAGGCCUCCUGCUCCCAGGCUGAGGACCCAAGGCCUUGGCUGCGUAUGGAGUGGGGUGGGUGUCUUUAUGUUCACAAUGCUGCAUCAUAUUCUUUGGAAGCUGAGAUCUGCUGAAGAGUAGGGAAAAGCGGCUGAGGGGGCUGUCAUCUAACUGGUAAGAGAGAUUUCUGAAGCUGAAAUAAGGAACUUAACUCACCCCUCUUUCAGCAGGUUCGCUGACUCCCACUGUGGAAAAAGAAUUUUCAGGACACGUCAGUAAGAGGCAGAAGGGUUUAUUAGAGAUUUAGAACACACUUAAGAGUGAAAUGUGGGCCCUCAGAGAAAUGAGGUGCAUUAUUUCCUGGAACGGGAAACAUUAUGCUUCUUGAAGGGGUGGAAACCCCAGGAAAAGGUGGCUGAAGGGGUAGCACAGAAGGGUACUAGUUCAUUGUACAGUACUGGUAUGGAUUCGUGUGUUUUGUGAUUAAAACAUUCUUUGGACUCUCUCCACUUGCUCCUUUUAGAAUCAGAUUCCUGAUUCCUGGGGAUUUAGCUCAGUAGUUCCACUGCCUGCCUGGGAAGGUCCCGAGUUCAAUCCCGAUACAGGGGUGGGGUGGGGUGGGAAUCAGAUUCCUGAUCAUUAUUUUCUUAGUUAAACCAGUUUAUGGACUUUCAGCAUUCCAGAGGAAUUUUGGGUGUGAUAGGUCUGGUAGGGAAGGAGCCUAAAUUUAACCAAAGGAAUGCCACAUGGAUAGCCUUGGGUGGUCCUGUAAAUUGGAGUUUUCUUAAAAAUACAACUUUGAAAAAAAAAAAAAAGAUGUGUUAUCUGCCUAGAAUUUUCCCAUACAUUUCUGUUGACAUGUUAGCCUUUCUUGUCCUUCAAAAUCUACCUCAAAGAAUGAACCCCAUAUUUCCUAUUUCUGCUGUAAACAUUGUAUAUAUACUCCUCACUAGGUUCAGAACUCCUGGAGAGCUGGCGCUUCAUUUCAUUCUUUAUUGUUAACUCUGUACAGGUUGAG
ensembl:lncRNA